UCGCGCUCCCAUGACUUUUGUGCGAACCUAGCUACCUCCCUCAUUUUCUUUCAUCCCAACCUAGCUCCCUCAUCCCCACUAUUAUCUAGCUUUCGUGCCGCCGUAUCUCGUGCCCGUUGUUUGAGUGCCAUCGAAGGUCCCCCGCAUUGUCUCCCCAUAAUAGGUUUUAUAGAAACUUGAAGGCGUGGUGGGCUAAUUUCAAGUCAGAGGAGGUGUUCAUGUUUAGGUUAUCAAGGCCAAAAAGACAAGGCUUCGACGUGCCCAGAAGACCAAUAUAUGCUCAUUAUUCUACUGCAUUGGAAUUCUAGUUGUGUUAACCGGUGAUUACUUGUUGUAUGUUGGACCAUUGGAUUGCGCCUUGCUGGUUUGUUGGAUAACUGUGAUAGCAUGAUGCAAACACUAAGAGACAACUAACAUAGAUGUUUCACAAAUUUUGGAAGGCAAGUGAUUUAUUUAGUUACACUUUUUUAC